AUCACAACGCAAUAAUUAACAUAAAAACAUAGGUCUUGAAUUCAAACUAAAAAUUAAACAAUUUUGUCAUCAUCCAAUACGUGAAGAGGAAUUAGCCAAAUAUGAUGCGAGAAUUAAAUAAAUAAAAGUGGAACGACAUCACCGAAAUUUGACGAAACGUGAUUAAUAUCCAAAUUAAAGUUGUCGUCUUUUUCCCAAUGAUUGGCCGUGAGUUGUCUUCUGCCAUCCACUUUUUAGUUCCAAAAGGUUUUAGUUUCAGCCCCCUAGCAGUUUUGUAUAUGUUUAAUUCCUCAAUUCUCCGAGCGUAAUUCGGUCAGUGUCUCCUCUAUUUUUCUCCAAUCUGCUGCCUUUUGUUGUGUGUAUGUAUAUACAUAUAUUAAUAACAGCAGCCUCCAGCAGUCAGCCCUUUCUUUUCAAAUCUCAGUCGGCUAUAUGUAUAUAAUUAAGCACCCGGCAGUUCCUUCUCUUCUCCGCUUCUUGUGUUAAUAUAUGCAAUUUAUUCCCAGCCUCCACUAAUCUACCGAUUUCUGUUGUAUCUAAUAUCUCCAAUUCAGUCUCCUCUAUGCCGGUUUACGUGUAUAUAUAGUUCCGCAGUAGGCAGAAUUCUUCCCCCUAUUUGUGUUCGUGGCCGACAAUGUUUAUUCUCUCUAUUCUAAUUUCCACCAGCAGCUUAUGUAUGUAUAUAUUAUAUAAUUCAGCAGCUGAAGCCUAACCCCAGCCGGUAGCCCCCAAUCUUUGAUUCCCCCAAAGAAUUCUUUCCAACCGCCAAUCUAUAUUAUUUCCCAGGCUGCUCCCCUUUUCUUCUUUUUUUCUACCAGAAUGUCAAUAUAUUUAUCUCAAAUCAGCCGCAUGAAGCCCUUUUUUUCUAGUCCAAUUUGGAGUCCAACAUAGUAUUAAAUUUGAAUUCCAAGGCCAGUCCAAUUGAAGGCCAUUUAAUCAAUUAUUUUUUUCCCAGUACUAAAUUUUCGAAGCAAUGCAAAUCAGUCCACUUUUUAUAGUUAGACUUUGAUUCCCAAAAAUUGUAUCCAAUGGCCAAUUUAAUCCACGUACUUAGGAUUUUGCUAUUUCCGCCCGUUUUUGCUUCUGUCCUUUCAUUUCUUUUUAUUCGUAGAAGUCCACCUAUUAAAUAUAAAAACAACAAUUUAGGAAUAUAUUUCACCAAAAGACUAUUAAAUAUCGCUAUUUUAGAGUCACGAAUAAGUAUAUAAAAUAUACUUAUCAUAUAAUAAACAAUAUUAAUCUCUUAGUUUUGAAAUAUGGAACCUUAUUUCUUAGAAAUGAAAUGGCAGGUUGUUAAAUAUAAGAGAUUAGUUAUGAUCCAUUUCAAAACUGAGAAACCAGGUCUAAAAUUUCAAAGAUUA
rnacentral:lncRNA from 1 species